UACAGAGGGGGCAAGCGUUGUUCGGAAUUACUGGGCGUAAAGGGCGCGUAGGCGGCCAACUAAGUCAGACGUGAAAUCCCCUGGCUCAACCAGGGAACUGCGUCUGAUACUGGAUGGCUUGAGUUCGGGAGAGGGAAGUGGAAUUCCAGGUGUAGCGGUGAAAUGCGUAGAUAUCUGGAGGAACACCGGUGGCGAAGGCGGCUUCCUGGACCGACACUGACGCUGAGGCGCGAAAGCCAGGGGAGCAAACGGG
rnacentral:rRNA from 1 species